CCACAGCCUGGUGACCGUGAGCUUGGAGAAGAGGGUAGAGGUGGGUGAGGUCAGGUAGUCGUACCCUUUCGGGUCUAUGACAUUCCUUGGCUGCCAUCCUGCCUUCUGGGGAUUAAAGGGGACACCGAGCUGCUGAGUUGGUGAUGGGCCGCUAGUGCUGUGGGGACAUCAACUCUUACGGGAUCUCUCCCACAGUGUUCCCGUGGCCCGCAGAGUGGGGAGCCCCGGGGGAAAGUGUCAAGUAUGGACCCGGGGCGCUUGGAGAUCCCAGCCCAGCUGGCUGCUCUGCUGGAGAGAGCAGAAGGCCACCAGGCCAGACUGACUGGGAGCAUCACAGAGUCCCUACCACCUGAGGUUCCUGUCCGGCCCAGCUUGACUCUUCCUCCAGACAUUGACCAGUUUCCCUUCUCCAGUUUCGUGUCCACCAGCUUCCAGAAGCCAUUUCUGCCCAGACCAGGGCAGC
rnacentral:lncRNA from 1 species